rnacentral:lncRNA from 1 species
GUCUAUACUGUGUCAUCUCAACGGAAAUACGCGGUGCCCUGUUUAAAGUGAAUGUGGUUGUCUCUAAUGCUUAACCCAUAAACGAUAGUGGUAUUUCGAUAAGAGACAUCAUAGCAUGCACCAUACCAAAUAGUGUGUGGCUAUGACGUUCAGACACAUCAUCACACUAUGAUGUUCCAGGUGGCAUGAACUACGAAACAAUUUCCACAUUGUCUUAACUGCGUACCAAUACUCGUAACUCAGAUAUUCAUUUCUAUGAUCAUAUCGUAGACAGUUUAUCCUCUUGUUACGAC